rnacentral:rRNA from 1 species
UACGAAGGGGGCUAGCGUUGUUCGGAAUCACUGGGCGUAAAGCGCUCGUAGGCGGAUCUUUAAGUCAGAGGUGAAAUCCCAAGGCUCAACCUUGGAACUGCCUUUGAUACUGGGGAUCUCGAGUCCGGGAGAGGUGAGUGGAACUGCGAGUGUAGAGGUGAAAUUCGUAGAUAUUCGCAAGAACACCAGUGGCGAAGGCGGCGACCGUGGUCCGAGACUGACGCUGAGGCGCGAAAGCGUGGGAGCA